CCAAAGGCCCGACGGCCCAGCCCCCCGGUGGCAGGUGGCCUUUCCAUGGCUGAGGUCACACACCCAGCAUCGCAUCCUGCCCUUCUCGGGGCCUCGGGCCCCUUCGACUCGUCUCCAGGGAUUGCACUUGCUCCUGCUGCCCACAGAGGUUUCCUUCCUGUGAUUCCACUCGGAGGGGGCGCUUUUCUUUGCUGGCUUCAACCAUCACAGAGCUGCAUUGUGUUCGCCGGCAGCUGCCACGCUUCCCUGAAAAGGCAGCUUCUGUUCUGCUGGAGAUGAGCUGAUUUGCCUGGCAGCCAACUUAAACAAGGAGGCAAGAAAACAGCAUAGACUGGGCUCCCAAAUACAUCUACAUGGAUUUAAUGGACACGGGUAUAAUGAAGGGCAAAGUGCCUAAUGAUAUAAUUGACAUAGAAAAGGAAAGUAAGAAGAGAUACUGGAGGGAAGGGAGAGGAAAAAAGGCAAACGUGGAGCAAUGAAUUACAGGAGAACAGGAAGAAGAAGAGAAAAGAAA